rnacentral:lncRNA from 1 species
CCUAUAGAAGCAGGAUCACCAAACAAUCAUUCUAUUCCAUGUUCUGAGCUCAAACUUACAGCAGAAGUACGAAUAUGUACCUGGACAAACAAGAAACAACGGAGAAAUUGAAGAUCAACAGCUACAGCUGCAACAAUAGUUUCAAACAAUCAACAUAACACAACAACAAGAACUCAGCAGCCUCUUGAUGUGAAAAUUGGUCCAGGAAGUUUAUGAAAACCCAGUAGAUAACCCAGAUGCACCCAAAGAACUAGAAACUAGUGGAAAAUGCUCCAAACCAAUAUGCAAACAAAUUCCAAGCCAAGCCACAAGCAGAAAGCUAAAGAGUAAACCCCACAAUUACUUGAAAAACCAAUGAAACAUUAAUGUUUUGUUGUUUUCUUCUUAGUAUAUACCUUUUUUUGUAUUUUUUAUGAUAGAACUAAACUGAAAUUGAAAAAUGGAAUCAAAAUCUGAUUUGAUCUUAGUGAGGUUUUUGAGCUGAAAAAUUG